rnacentral:lncRNA from 1 species
CAAGAGGAAAAGAUCUGUCUAGAAAGAUGUCUCUCUUUUUAUUUGCAAACAGAAUGGCUCACCAGUUUCUGAAUUUGUAUACUACAUGUCGGGCAAAAUGCCUGUUUUCUUUUCUUUCUUCUCUCUCUCUCUCUCUCUCUCUCUCUCUCUCUCUCUCUCUCUCUCUCUCUCGAUUGACUUAUUACAAGAUUGUCUUUCUGAGAUAUCUCUAAUGACUUUUUUAAAAGAAAAAAAAAUAGAUCAACAUCCUAUCUUCUGGGUCCAUGAAGAAUGACAUUUCCAAUCACUUUUCCCUAGAUGCACUGACCAUUUAAAUUUUUUAAUAGGGAGGAAAAGGAUUGGUGUUUUUCAAAAACAACAAACAAAACAGAUGUUGGAAAGAGCAUUAUGAGAUGAAAUUUAAUGUAGUAAACUUCAGAACCAAGUAAUAUUAACUAACCGAGCUUCAAAGAUGCAACUAUAUUCUUUAAAGUACUGGUCCUAUGGGAAUUCUAUUCAGCUCUCCACGACUGAUCUCAUCCAUGGUGACUACAGGGCCUUCUCUACUUCCUGGGUACCCUGGCUGAGAUGAAGACGGGACUCUUCAUCCUGCUCCUGUUCCAGUCUCAAUGGCUAAUGGGAGCUACUUCAGUCUUUGUUAUCAGUUCAUCUACUUGUUGAAUGGAUGGAUGUAUUCAUCCCAAAAAUCUCUGGAAGGAUUUACCUCCGUUACACAUAUGGAGAGAUUGGCUCAGUGAUGUCCUGGGUCAUGCAGCUAGGACGUGAAAGGAGUGGGAUGCAAGGCUGGUUAACACAUCUGCCUCCCCCACGCAGGUUCAGCUGUGGGCAUUCCUGCACCAGCUGCAUCACACGUGUAUAUUCACAAAUGGAAAUCCCAUCCUCCCUUGGCCCCUGAUUGAUAACAAGUAGACAUCCAUCCUGGACUGGGGCAAAGGUUGCUUAGCUUGAGCUUUGUGAUACAGAAUCUUACUCUGUAUCCCCAGCCCUGGAACUCACUGUGCAGUGAGUAUGCAAUUCACAGUAAUCCUCCUGCCUCAGCUUCGAGUGUUGGAAUUUAACAUAGGAGCCACCAUACCUGGAUUUAAUUUUGUUUCAUAGAUGAAUAAACUAAGACUCAGUGGG